GAUGAACGCUGGCGGCGUGCUUAACACAUGCAAGUCGAACGAGCUUUAUUACUACGAUCCUCUUCGGAGGUGACGGUUUUAAAGCGAGUGGCGGACGGGUGAGUAACGCGUGGGUAACCUGCCCCAGACCGGGGGAGUAACAGUCGGAAACGGACUGCUAAUAACCGCAUAAGCGCACGGUACCGCAUGGUACAGUGUGAAAAACUACCGGUGGUUUGGGUAGUGGACCCGGCCGUCCGAUUAGUUAGUUGGUGAGGUAACGGCCCACCAAGUCGACGAUCGGUAGCCGGACUGAGAGGUUGACCGGCCACAUUGGGACUGAGAUACGGCCCAGACUCCUACGGGAGGCAGCAGUGGGGAAUAUUGGGCAAUGGACGCAAGUCUGACCCAGCAACGCCGCGUGAAGGAAGAAGGCUUUCGGGUUGUAAACUUCUUUUAAGGGGGAACGAGUAGAAGAGGGUACCCCUUGAAUAAGCCACGGCUAACUACGUG
rnacentral:rRNA from 1 species